ACCUGCAAGCCACGGUGGUAAUCGAAUUCCAGUGAAAGGGAACAAAACUCCAGCCGCCACCGGCAUGCUGAGGAUAUUGUAGCCCAGGGCCCAGACAUAAUUCAAUCGAAUUUGAGACAUGGUCUUUCUAGAGAGAUCAAUGGCUGUAACUACAUCUUCCAAGUUGCUCUUCCUCAGAACUAUAAGCAGCUUCUAUAACUACGUCGGUGCCCGCACCAAUUGCCAUACCAACAUGUCCUGCAACCAUUGCCGGAGAGUCAUUAAUUCAAUCUCCCAUCAUUGCCACCACCAUUCCUUUCAUCUGCAUCCAAAUCCACUUUAACAAGUCAGAAAACACUAUGUAAGAUAGAUAACUCACAUAUCAAGUCAGAAACAAACUUAAUAUAGAAAAAUGAGUUUGAAGAUUGUUUGCAAGGUUUAGCAAGGUUUUAAAUGAAAUAGGAAUAGGGCCUUCUAAAUGAUUGUUUGCCAAGGAGAAAUCAAUCAUAUUCUGAAGACCCCCAAUGCCACCGGGAAUGCUUCCGGAGAAAUGGUUAUUUGAUAAAUCCAUAUCCACCACAUCCUUCAACUUUCCGAUGUCUUCUGAGAGUGGUCCAACCAGAGAAUUGGAUGACAAGUUUAGGUGCAAUAUAUACUUGAGUUCCCACAAGGAAGAUGGUAUUUUAGAAGUUAACAAAUUGGACCCUAACGGUAGAAAUCUUAGAGCUACUGCCGAAGUACCCAAGCAGGAAGGAAUAGAACCAGAGAGCCGAUUACCAUCCAAACGUAACUCGGCUAGGUUGUUUAGUUGACAGAGUUCAUACGGGAUAUGUCCUCCCAGUUCGUUAUCAUACAAAUACAAACCUUGGAGAUUUUUUAGCCUUUGUAUUGAAGUUGGAAUUGCUCCACUCAACUGAUUGUUUCCCAGGCUUAAUGAUAUCAAGCUGCUCAAGUUGCCAAUAUCAACUGGAAUGUUACCCCUGAUGUUCGAAUUUCUUAAAUUAACAUAUAGGAGUGACGUAGAGAGAUUCCCACGAGAAGCUGGAAUCAUGGUGUUUAGUGGAUUUCCUGCCAAGUAUAAUCUUGUCAAAUUUCUAAGAUUAAACAAGCAAGAGAGAGUGCUUGCUGCUUAUGGAGUAGAAGCAUGAAUUGUCAAAUUAUUCGAGUGCAGGUUUUUCAGGGAACAUAGCGUGGUAGGAAGAAUCCCGGUAAAUGAGUUUGUGUUCAUGUCUAGCUUCCAGAGCUUGGAAGCAUUGGAGAGGUUAGGGAGUAUUCCAGCCACGAGGUUACUUCUGGCUACAUAAAGGAUUUCUAGGUUUGGACCGUUAAGAGUCUUAACUUAAGACCGCUGUUUGCUGGGAGGCUACUUGAGAGCUGAUUGAAAGAACGCCCUAUUUCUCUUAUCAUGCAGAGAUUGAAGAGUUUGGAUGGGAUGACGCCACUGAGAUUAUUAAUAACAAGUCCCAAAAUCUCUAACUACGGAAGAUUACCAAUAUCAUCCGGUAUUGUAUCUGUUAUAAUUUCAGCACAUUUGCAUUAAAUUUUUAACUUCAAUUUAACUAAAAACUAAAAGCGAAAUGAUUAUCAAACAAUCCUAAAUUUACUACCUAUUAAAUUAUUGUCAUUAAGAUAAAUCUUGGUUAAGUAGGUCAAAUUGCCAAGACUUUUGGGUAUGCUUCCAAGGAAAUUGUUAGACCCUAAUAAGAUUUCACAAAGCUCUUUGCAUUGCCACAGUUUGGAGGGAAUAAGACCGUCAAACUGGUUUCGACCCAAAUUAAAUCGUCGAAUACUCAGAAGAUGCUCACAUAUAUUUUUCGGAAGACUGCCACUAAUAUUGUUUCCAUAUGGAGCCAAAGUAGUCAAAGAAGAUAUGUUGAGGACAGGCACAAUAGCAGAGCCUUUUAGGGCAUUGGACUGCGCAUACAACUCCUCCAGCUGAUCUAAACUACCCAUCUCGUUUGGAAAUUCUAUAAAUCAAUCAGUAUAUAUUGUUAAAAUCAUGUAAACAUAUAUAGGAGUUGCUUCUUAUUAGGAAUCCUGUUCUACCGUAGCAAAAGUGGGAUAAUAUUAUAAGGACCAUGUACAACUAUAUAGGUUCUCUUUUUGCUCCAGCAUACGAGGGUCUUACAUAGUAAAUAUACGAUCCCUAUGAUAGUCCUCUUAUUGUAUUUUUGCUAAAGUGGAACGAGAUUCCUGCUAAGAAGGGGCUCGUAUCUAAACUACUUACUACCUCAAUCAAAACUACAUGAAAUUACAAUUUUAACACCCAAACCAAAACUGCACAAAAAUAAAAAAAACUAUGGGUAAUUUAGUAAGGGCUGUGCUAUCCACACACCCCAUUUUACUUCUCACACACCCCUUGAUAAUUUAUGUAUGUUGAUAUUCUUCAAUUGAUUCGAUCCGACGGCCGAAAAUUAAAAAGGUUUGUGAGAAGUAAAAUGGGAUGUGUGCAUAUCACACCCCUUUAGUAAUUACAUGAACAUAACUUUUGUUGUUAUUUAGGGCAACCUCACAGCUAGGUCACCAUAGCAUGCCAUAUUUAAAAAUUAAAAAUAAAAUAAAAUAGUAAAUAAAAAACAUGCCUACUUUAGAAGAAACUGCUCAUCAUUUUCCCAAUUUUUAUAAGGGGUGUGCUAUCCACACAUUUUUUUACUUCUUACACAUUCCUUGUUAAUUUAUGUCCGUUGAUCUUCUUCAUUUUAUCCGAUACUACGGCUGAAGAUUAGAAGGGUGUGUGAAAAGUAAAAAGGGUGUGUGGAUAUCACACCCCUUUUUUUAUAAUUGAUUUAUUGUUUUAGAAUUUUAAAAACUAAUCACACUACUUAGUAAAAAAAACAAAAUGAAAUGAAAUUAUACAAAACCUAAGUCAUACAGUAUACCUUCGAACUUCUUGUCGUCAAGGUUUAUGCAAUUCACCAUUGUUAAGUUGCCUAUUUCUCUGGGUAUGCUACCUGUUAAAUAUGUGCAUGGAUUCCAACAAAAAAGAAGGCAAAAAAAACGAAGGAGAUGAUUGUUAUACAUCUUAUAUAUAGAUGUUAAAAUGUAAUCAUGAAGCAAGCAACAUUAAUUUAUAUUCCUAGCUGUUGGUAAUGGUGGUACGUACGUACCUGAUAGUUGGUUCGUGCUCAAACUAAUCAUUUCGAGUGCAGAUAAGUUGAAGAUAGCAGCGGGUAUGAAACCAGAGAAGCCAUUACCGUACAAUUUGAUGGUUUGAAGUUUAGGAAAGGACCCAAAUCACGAAGGAAUGGUUCCCAUAAAGCUGUUGUUUCCAAAGUUAAUUGCCUUCAACCGGCGCAAACGAGACAGUUCUUGCGGUAGGGAACCAUGAAAGCUAUUAUUCUUAAGGCCUAACUCAACGAGAAAUGAGUGGUUGCCUAGAUGCGGAGGAAUAACUCCGGCAAGACCCAUGUGCGAGAGAUUUAAGGCCGUUACUCUGUGGUGGCGAGCACCGCAGCUAACGCCAACCCAGUUGCAAAUGUCGGAAUUGAAGGCAAACGACCAGUUGGCGGUCAAGAUGUUUUGAGGGUCACUAGUGAUGUGAGCCUUGAGAGCAAGAAGCACAGACUGAUCUGUGCUGAAAUUGGUAUGAGAUAUUGCUAAUGCACCUGCAGUUAAGUAAUUAGCCAUAAUCAUCAUAUAGAUAUAACAUAAACAGUGUAUCAUCGACAACAUUUUUGAUGGUAGGAACCGACUUCUCUCCUUAAUUGUAGUAGUUUUCGUCUUUCGGUUUAAAUUCGAUCGAAAACUAGAGCUCAUUACAUUCACAUAAAUAGGGAAACGAGUUGGUGUUACCAAGACUUGUGAACGACAUAGACUUGCCCGGCGUCUAUGUCAAGGUGAGGAGACUUAGACUAGUCGAACGAAGACGAGUGGCAAGGAACACCUACCAUUCAUUUUUUGGAUUUUUUAACAUAUCAAACACACACCAUUCAUUUUUUACUGAUAGCUUGAAGGUGGCGUACGCCGUAAGCAACACCUACCAAUUGCAACUUGGAAGUGAGCAACGAGUGGUAAGGAUGUUUUGGUCUGUGGUGGUGAUAUUUGGUAAUUGGUGCUGCUAGCCGACGAGUUCUGUCCAUUUUGUGGUCACGGCUGGAGAUGCCCAAAUGUGGAAUUUUAGUCUUCAGUUCACCAUCAAAACAAACAACACCAUAAAUUUCAAGAUUGAUAUUUAAUGAUGACAUACAUUUUGAUUCAAAUGCAAAUGCAAAUGCGACCAAACACAUAACAGUUACAUUCUUCCGGAUGAAAUAUCUUUGCCGACAUUUACAUAUAAUCAAGCUCUAGUUGAACACUCUUCGGAUUCGAAAAUCAUCUAAACUUGGCUAAUCAGUUUUUUCUGAACAGAACAAACCAAAGAUGAUACGCAAACGGUCCAAGAAUUACGGUCUUAUGCUUCUAAAUUAUUAAUCAUGAUCGCAUGCAGACUUGCUAUUGGAGACGCUCUGAAUAUGCAAAGGCUUCUUAUAUGACUGCAACAAGAGAGAACAUACCACGCUUAGAGAUGAAGCAGGCAUGCACCUGCAAGCCAUGGUGGUAAUCGAAUUCCAGUGAAAGGGAACAAAACUCCAGCCGCCACCGGCAUGCUGAGGAUAUUGUAGCCCAGGGCGACAUAAUUCAAUCGAAUUCGAGACAUGGUCUUUCUAGAGAGAUCAAUGGCUGUAACUACAUCUUCCAAGUUGCUCUUCCUCAGAACUAUAAGCAGCUUAUAUAGCUAUGUCGGUGCCAGCACCAAUUGCCAUGCCAACAUCUCCUGCAACCAUAGCCGGAGGGUCAUUAAUUCCAUCUCCCAUCAUUGCCACCGCCAUUCCUUUCAUCUGCAUCCAAAUCGACUUUAACAAGUCAGAAAACACUAUGUUAGAUAACUCACAUAUCAAGUCAGAUACAAACUUAAUAUAGAAAAAUGUGUUUGAAGAUUUCUAUAAGACAUUAUUUUACCCUAGAUAAGUCAUUUGAAAUAUAAUUUAGUAAUCCUCAAUCUGCGUUCAAAACCAGAACAAAAUUACUUGUGGAGCUGGGUAAUUGUAAUCCACUCACACCACCCCUGUAACUAUUAUAUAAUCGUAACUGUAAUUCUUUGAUUCUAUCAGCUUUUCAUAGUGGAUCCGUCUCAGCACACCUUAUCAAUGCCAACCUCCAUCGCACUGGCUGCCGCUGUAGCCCAGUUAUCACCAGUAACCAUGAUGCUUGUAAUGUUUAUCGAGUGAAGAUAAGAGAUGACUCGUGCAGCCUCUGGCUUCACUGGGUCAGUUACAGCAAAAGACCCAGCAAUCUUUCCAUCAAUGGACACCAACACACACCUUCGAGCCAGAUUAUCAUGUUCUGAAACAUACUUGUCAACCUCAGGACCAACCUGGACAUUAUUUUCCCGCAUGAGCCUCAGCAAUCACCAUUUACCUACAUAUUUCUCAAAUAGAGGCAUGUUAGCAUGAUUGACAAAAUAAUAACAAUAAGUUGUCUCAUCUGUAACUUUACAAACUUCAAACUUUUCAUGAACAAAUUUGAAACAUAAGCACCAACCUCUGUGACAAUAGACACAGCA
rnacentral:lncRNA from 1 species